CGGGUGAGUAACACGUGGAUAACCUACCUAUAAGACUGGAUAACUUCGGGAAACCGGAGCUAAUACCGGAUAAUAUUUUGAACCGCAUGGUUCAAAAGUGAAAGACGGUCUUGCUGUCACUUAUAGAUGGAUCCGCGCUGCAUUAGCUAGUUGGUAAGGUAACGGCCUACCAAGGCAACGAUGCAUAGCCGACCUGAGAGGGUGAUCGGCCACACUGGAACUGAGACACGGUCCAG
rnacentral:rRNA from 1 species